CUCGGACAGGUACUCCCGCACCUUCUGAUGCUGCGACUGCUGCAGAUGGUAGGAUGUGGGAUUCUCCAGAGGAGAAGACACCGAGCCCUGAGAGGGGAAGAGAUUUGCCCAAGGUCACUGAGCAAGCGGGUGACAGCUGAGACAUGAAUCCAAGUUUCCUGGUUCCUGGACCAAAACUGAAGGUUCUGUCUUCUUCACUCAUUGCAGUUGGUAAAUCCCAAACUCUAAGAGUCAACUUCCACUCCUCUCUGUGUCACGCCCACAUCCUGAUCCUGUUAGAUCCGACCUCAUAUCCACCCUCCUUUGCUGCCACAAGGUGGGCCCAGCCUAUCCUGGGUCUUACCUGGAAUCCCGCAGGAGUAGCCCAGUGUUCAGACUGCCUCCUCUGGCUUGCCCUAGGACGUUCUACUGGCAACUCAGUAGAGCAACUCAUUUAACUCCUGUUAAAUCCUAAGUCAGAUCCUGUCUUCCCCUCUGCUCACAACUCCCCAUGGUUCCCACCUUCCUCAGGGGAAAAGCUAAAGUCCUUACCAUGACUGGAAAGGCCCCCUAGGAUCUGGCCCACCUCGUGUUCCCCUUUGACCCCAUCCGCCAGCUCUCCCUCUUGUUUUAUCUGCUCCGGCUACAUCCUCCAGGCACUUUGAAAUCCCCGAAACAUCCCAGGCAUGCCCCCACCUCAGGACCUUUGCACUUGCUGUUCCCUCUGCCUGGAAUGCUCUCCCCCCAGAUGACAUCAUGGCUCACUCCUUCACCUCCUCCAAGGCUCAAAUGUUACCUUACAGAGACCUUCUAGGACCACCCUAUUAAAAUUACAAAGCCCUCCACCACCACUUCCUAUGCCCCUUCCCUUUUGUUUUUAUUUUCCUCCAUAUCACUUAUCACCAUCUUAAAUACAAUGCAUUUUUGC
rnacentral:lncRNA from 1 species